UGUCUUCGGGCAGUAGGCGGGGGACACCCUGAAUCGGUUGCCAGCCAAUCGCAGGGCACACAGAAACGAACAACCAUUCGCACUCACACUCACACCUAGGGACAAUUUAGAGCGUUCAAUCAGCCUGCCACGCAUGUUUUUGGAAUGUGGGAGGAAACCGGAGCACCCGGAGAAAACCCACUCAGGCCCGGGGAGAACAUGCAAACUCCACACAGGGAGGCCGGAGCUGGAAUCGAACCCGGUACCUCUGCACUGUGAAGCCGACGUGCUAACCACUGGACUACCGGGCCGCCCCGCACGCUUCAUAUUGCAUCUAUUUGACCUAAAUGUAUAUUUUUCAUUGCGUUUUUUUUUUUUUUUUUUUUUUACAAUACUUCUAAAGUGAUUCCAAUUCCGGAUUCCUCCUUUUCUUGGUCAAUAAAGAGGAAUGGCUGUAAUUCUGAUUUUGAGACCCAAUCGCACGUCACACACAGACGAAAAACCGUUGGCGCUCGCACUCACACUUGGUCACAAUUAAAAAUUUUGAGCACAUGAUGUACCAAAUAUUGUUCCUUCCCUCAAAUAUCUUCAGGUCUGUUCCGUAAGCAUAUCAUUGACGAUGAUUUCACAAUCCAGGUUCCCAAGCGGCUCCCUCAGUAACAGUAUAUUUGUGUUUGUAGCAAUUGAUCAAUCCUUCCGAAGACGGAUGCAUACCGGAGUAUUAGUCGAGAUCGGAAAGUGUGAUACGCAUGGAAAAUAAAGUUAGCUUCACUUCGGUGAUACAAAAUAUGGUUUUCUGUUGAACAAGCUGGCCUAAGUAUUGGGCCGCAGCCACUGAUGAUGCCGUGUGAUUCCCAUGUUGAGGGUGUGCUGGAAGACACUGAGGCUUGGGGGGGGGGGGGGAGAGCACACCAAAACUCCAAACGCAAACUUCAUGCAAGUAUUUUGAGAGAAGAAGAAAUUGCCAGAGACUCAACUUUCCGUCUUUUGACCAAACUACUGCAUAUUUCCCCGGGAGGGGGUGUGGUGGGGGGGCUUCCUCGUUGGUUUCUCCUUUUUAUGGGUAGAACCACUCUAUCCUCGUGAGGCAAAAAAGUGCAUCGCCGCACCGCACGUUCAUCUCCACAAGUUUGAAU